AUGACUGAAGAGAAACAGAAGCCUAGUGGAGGAAGCAUGCGGGAAAUCAUAUAUAGCCUGUUGUUGUUGGGUAGUGUUGAGUUGGGGCUCUCUCUCCUUUUUCUUUUUUAUCCAGCCUGUGUAUUAGUUGAUGUGCAAAGAAGUAUCCCAUCUCUCCUAAUUGAUUGCAAUGUGCAUUGCGUGCUGUCAGGCAGCGUGGCAUUUAGGUGUCUGGGUUCACAGUUUCAGUUUGCUUCUUGUCUGGGUUGCUGUGCUUACUUCAUAGCAGAGCUAAACAGGAGGCCGGGCCUUAACCUUAACCUGCCUGCACGACCAAUUCUUGGUCUACAACAAUGUGAUAUGACAUAA
rnacentral:rRNA from 1 species